rnacentral:lncRNA from 1 species
ACCCCAACUGCCGCGUCCCCUCUGCUGCCUGCAGAACGUCCCACCCAAGCCAGGUGUCCCAAUUCCUUUCUGACUUCAGAGAGCCGAGGCGGGUUCCUAAACCCCGGGGCUUCCCCUGGCAGGCAAGCACCCGCUGCAGACAUUUUGGCUCAGUAGGUCUGGAGUGGUCUGGGAAUCCAGGCUUAGGAAACUCUAUAUUGGGGCCUUCUGUGACCCCUUCCCUGGCCCUAUCUCAUCCCCAUCACAUAAACCUGGCUUCCCCAGAAGCCUCACAGGCUGUGCAUUGCACAGGAGUCAACUCUAGGGGGCAGCAGUCACCAGAGGACAAUGUGAAAGCGGAAGCCCUGCUCACUCCCCUCCUGCAGGAAACUGACCCAUGACCCGCUCCUUCCUAGGUGAACCCCAUGACCCCUUUCCUCAGCUUCCCUCUGAGAUACCCCUCUUUUCUUCAGGAUUGUUCUGGAAGGUCCUUUUCCUGAAAGUUGCUGCUAUCGGUGACUGGAAGUCUGGCUAAUGCUGGUGGACUCUGCCCAGCUCUGCCUCAAAGGAUUUUGGGCCUUUACAAGAGCUGGUUGCAAACCAGCCACGUGACCUUGGGAAAGUGUCACGCACUGUCUGCUGUGAUCCCCUCAGUGGCGAAAUGAGGGGUGGCCUAAAUGGUUCCCAUGGCCCCUGUGCCCCUGACAGCUGGGUGGCUGUGGCCCUCAGCACCAGGAACCCUGAAUCCAUCAGGGGAUGUGAGGGUCAGGGAUUCUCCGCUUCCCAGUGUCUCUCAAGGACCCAGGAAGGAGGAUCUGGGAUUGAUGCCCCAACCCCAGAGGAAGUGGAAACCCCAGAGGAAGUGGAGUUCUGUUCCACCAGAGCAGGAUUUGUCACAUGGCCUGAGUGGGCAAGGGCUUCUGUUCAGCCUCAAGCUUCAUUCCUAUCUCCAUCUACCACUAGUCAGAAACUGGCUCCUUCUCCUGUGGCACAAUCAGACCCUGGAAGAAGUUUGCAGCAGGCUAGGAAACCACCUAGGCUGCCACCAGAGGUAGUGAGUAUCCAGUCCCUGGAGGGGUGAAGGCAGAACUGGAGACAUCAUUGACCAGGGGUACGACAGUGAGAGGGAAUUCUGGAACUAAACCUUCACCACGCCAAGUGUGGUUGGUGGGCCAGGGUCAGCAUUGCCUGUGAACUCGUUAGACAUGAAGGCUCUCAGGGCCCCACCCCAGACCUGCUGAGUCAAGAUCUGCAUUUUAACAAGUUCCUGCAAAAUAUUGACAUGCUCAUUAAAGUUUCUGAAUCAUAGAACUAAAUCACCCUAAGAUCUUUAAAUCUUAGAAUCUCUAAGGGUCUCAUAAAGCCAGGCUGGAAACUAGCCACUAAACUUGUUUUGUUUGGCCUAUGGAGUGUUUCAUUUUGAGCUAACAAAUCAAGAGCUUCCACAUUUUAAAAAUGUAUAACAGAUUUCCCCCUUCUCUUGAAAUCGGAAGCCUCACAUGAGGUUUGUGUCACCACUUAACCACAUUCUGCUGCGGCUAAAGAGUAACGGUCCCCUUUAUCCAGAUAUCACCACUCCCCACAGACUCCGGGACACCAAGAUUUUCUGAACAUUCCUUUAUAUUCCCUCCUGGUGCCUGUAGACACUGAGCUUGGGACUCUUUAGCAGGUAUUAGGAUUAUAGGGGCCCCUGGAGGGAGCUUUGCCUUUUUUUUUUUAACUGAUUCAUGACUUCCACAGGCUUAGUGGUGUUCCCCUCCUUCCUAAAGGUAAGGGAAGAAUGUAUCAAACAUCGAAAACCCAGCACUUGUAAGUUCUGGUUACCUAAGGUAAUGUUGCUAGAGAGAGCAAUUUAGUGCAAUUUCAAAAACAUUUUAAAUUGUGUUUGAAUAUGAUGAAUUAAAGAUUAAAAACAAAACAAAUCCCAGACAUGCACACACACAAAUUUUUAAAAGUUAUUUACAUUCCUGAAGAUUUUCCUUAAGAUUUUCUCUGUACUUAGGGCCCAGGGAUUGAAGGGCAGAUUCACAUCUCUGGCCUUGGGCCUGACCAUGUGGACAGAGCUCUCAGUCUCCUGUCUCUUCCCUCCCAUACCCGACCCUCCUGCCCUUCUCCUUCCUUCCCUCUAUCCCUGCCUGCAAGGGCCUGGAAGAGUUAAUGGUGUGAGAUUUCGGCAGCCUCAAGGAAGAGUCCAGGAUUCGGUGCGGAGAGAUUAGCUGGGACAGGCUUGGGCAGGGCUCCCCCCAGAAGCAGAGAAGAAUGAGCCAGAGGGCAGACGCAGUUUGAGGUAGAAGUGGAGUGGGCAGGGCUGAGCCGGUUCCUUCCCAGCUUCGCUCAGCCUCCUUCCCAGGCUGGCCUCGAGCUCAAGUGACCAGAUGUGAUGGGGAGAAGAGCCCUGACCCCUCCCCAGCUAGAAGAACUUGGGGAACCCCCAACCCAGAGUUCACAGAUCUAGUGGGAGAAGAGAAGGGAAAAGAUGAAGCCUGAGCCUCUCCUCUCUGUUCCUGUCUCCCUCUCUGCCCUAUUCUCCUCUCUUUGUGUCCCCACAGUCCCCUUUCUGCCUGGCAGUCUCUCCCUGCCUUUCUCUGCAGUUUCCAUCCUUUCUCUGGAAAUCUCGUUUCCUGGACCCAGUCAGUUAUCCAGUCUCAGGGCUCUGCUGACUCAAGUCCUCCCCACGCUGUUCCUGGGGACUGGGCAACUCCCAGCGCAUGAGAGCACCAGGGCCUGGCUUGGCACUGGGCAUCCCCCACCUUCAGAUGUGUUUACACUACCUCUGCCAGCUGGCCUGCGCCAGGAGCCCACACUCGGGGUUGUCCUUGCCUUGGAGAUGGCUGUGUAGCUGGCAGAGCAGUGAUGGCCAAAGCAGGGACCUCUCAUAGCUGCUGCUUCAAUCCACAGCAGAGACUGUACAGCGUGUCCCGGGGCUCACCCGGCGCCUUUUUUUUUGGUGUGUGCUGCUCCUCAGGUCCUGGGCCCUGCUCCCUGUCCCAUCUGCAGUGGACUCCCGGCACUCCCUUUGAGGAGGUGGGGUGAACUGCUCCUUGGCAGGGAUUUGUGACACUGCACUGCUGGGCUGUGUUCCCUGGGCUCUUCUGGACCUUGCACCGUGGAUACCAGGGCACGUGCUGUGGUACCUGGGUCCUGGGAGGGUGGCUGAAAUAAAGGCGUGCUGUCUUCCAUGUCGUGGUGUGUGCUUCUUUUAGCCCGGAGGGGUAGUCUUGACACCCCCAUCUCUGGAAUGCUCAACCCUGGCAUUUCCAGGGAGGAUUUCAGAUAGGGUUGAACCUUAGAGAUGGCCUGAAGAGGGGAAGUGGCUGGGGACAACAGCCCCCAGGAACUCCUCUGCUCAGAGAACCAGCCGCGGAAGUCUCAGGCCUCUCAGGCUGCUGGAAAAGACCAGGGUCUCUGAUGCUUUUGAGGUGGGUGAUGUGACUUCAUCCCUUGAUUGUAUGCAGGAGAGAAGAAGAGAAGGACAGAGCUUAUCUAUGCCAUGACUCCAUGACCCAUGGACCAUAACCUACAACCACGGGAGCCAGAGUCCAAGACUGAAGGAACAGGGCCCCCAGAUGGGAAAGGUGAGGUCCACUGGUCUCCGGGCAGGACCUCACCAACAACCCACACUCCACCUCUGACCCCUCACAAACCUGCUGGUGGAGCUCUAGAGCAGGAGAGACUAUUCCAGAAUCACCAGUGGGUGUCUGGCCCCUAAGUUUUCUGGGAGCCCAGCUGUUCCUGUGCCAGGCCCAAUGUCCCAGACAGGAUGACCCGUAAUGGACAUCUGCUGUUCUGCCUUCCUACAUCUGUCCUGCUGGGCAUCCGGCAGCCAUCUGUGCCCCAUUCUGGCUAGAACUGACUGCUGACUUUCCCCUUCAGGCCAGCCCAGUCAUUCCGUUCCUCUGGCCUCAAAGACAGACAGGUGAGCUGGGCCAGGCUGAUGAAGCUCGGUGCUGGGACGUUGUUCGAAGCCAUGGGGAGAAAUUGUCUUCUUGGAGGUUGCUGAGAGGAUGGAACAUGGAGCGAUCCUUGCCACCACAAAGACACAGCUGAACUGGCAGAUGGAGGGAGACUAAGGCCUGAUGGCUACUGUUUGAGCUGAGAUACCUCACUGGGCCUAAAGCCAAGUCCAGCUGUUUAAGCAACAUGGGCCAGCAAAUUAUUUUCUCUGCUUAAGUCAGGUUGCGUUGGGUUCUUUCUUUUCUUUCUUUCUUCCUUUCUUUCUUUUUUCUUUCUUUUCUCUGUUCAUUCGUUCUUUCUUUCCUUUCUUUCCUUCCUUCCUUCCUCUUUUUCUUUCUUUCUUCCUUUCUUUCUUUUUCUUUCUUUCUUUCCUUUCCUUCUUUCUUUCUUUUCUUUCCUUCUUUCUUUCUUUCUCUUUCUUUUCCUUCCUUCAUACCUCAAAACCCUUACGAUGGCUGGUCACAGUGGCUCAUGCCUAUAAUCCUAGCACUUUGUGUGGCUGAGGCGAGAGAAUCACUAGAGCCUAGGAGUUCUAGACCAACCUGGGCAACAUAGCAAAACCUUGUCUCUACAAAACACAAAAAUUAGCCAAGCAUGGUGGUGCACACCUUCUGUCCCAGCUACUCAGGAGGCUGAGGCAGGAGGGUCACUUGAGCCCUGGAGGUCAAGGUUGCAGCGAGCUGAGAUCACACCACUGCAUUCCAGAGUGGGACUGUCUCAGACAAACAAAAACCCUCGUGACGUUUUCAUAGUGACGAAAUAUUGGUCCAUUUGAUUACAAUGUGCUGAUGGCUGCAAGUUCAACAGGAGGCUUUCCCAUAUACUCCACCUCCUCACCCAAACCACUAUACCAAACAGACACCUGUCCAUAGCCACGCACUUUAUGGCCUCGCUUCAACAUCAUUACCUUUGUCACUGGCCAGCAUGUCAUCUCCUAGGCCUCUCUCUCAGCCCUGAUCACCCACUCCUAAGCUGCAUGCCUCCAUCAGCAUGUUCCUGUUGCAACUAUCAACCAGGGGCCACCAAGGCCACAGGAGGCCACUGAGGCCACAGGGGUUCUCCUGCAUUGACUGGCUGGUCCUCAACCACAGUCUCUGGGGUCACCUCCCCCAGGGCUUAGCCUUUAUCCGAGGAUAUAGAGAUGGGCACCCAGAGCUCCUGCCACACUCUCUUCCAGGGCAGGGUUGAGGGCGGGGAAGGUCGGGGCCCCAGUGGAAACAAGACCUGAGGGACUGCAUACCCAGCUUUGAAGGUCUGCACUGGAAGGCCCCAGCCUGCUUCAGGCCCUGAAAGGGCAACGAGGAGGGUCCAGUGCUGAGCCCUUAUCCUCAAUGAUGCCAAGGGGUAGAAGACUUUC